rnacentral:lncRNA from 1 species
GGGUUCAAAGUCAGUGAGUGAUUGACGUUGCUAUUUAUGAUCGGUUUGCAUGCGUGGGUGGAUUGUUUGGUGUUGUGCCAUUCGCUGCCCCGUUUUAGUAUCUGCACCGCAGAGUUGAGAGUUCAGAAUAACAGUUGUGAGGAACACAUGGAUCACUGUGUAUUUUGCUUUUUAAAGAUUUGCAAUUUCGGUGUGUGUUUUGUAUACGAAGUUGUGGAUCAAGUAAUUUAAUCAAGUCCAUUAUUUGAGCCAAUGGAAUUACUGCAGAUGUUGGCUUUUUUGGCUUGAUCUUGUUCUACUGUGUGCUGCGUGCGUUUAGUUCAUGUUUUGCCUAAUGUUAUAGGCUUGCUUUUACCUUCAUUUUCUUUUAAGUUUUUGGUUCAUGUAAUAACUGUGUGGUGGUUUUUUAAUGGAAAAAUGCUACAUCGACGGGCUCUUUACGGGGUUUUCAACGGACUCUCCCAAACUAAACUUGCCCCCCCCCCCCUCCCCUCCCUCUCAUUUUCAGGAAGGCAGGGCCCCUCUCCCCCUUANNNNNNNNNNNNNNNNNNNNNNNNNNNNNNNNNNNNNNNNNNNNNNNNNNNNNNNNNNNNNNNNNNNNNNNNNNNNNNNNNNNNNNNNNNNNNNNNNNNNNNNNNNNNNNNNNNNNNNNNNNNNNNNNNNNNNNNNNNNNNNNNNNNNNNNNNNNNNNNNNNNNNNNNNNNNNNNNNNNNNNNNNNNNNNNNNNNNNNNNNNNNNNNNNNNNNNNNNNNNNNNNNNNNNNNNNNNNNNNNNNNNNNNNNNNNNNNNNNNNNNNNNNNNNNNNNNNNNNNNNNNNNNNNNNNNNNNNNNNNNNNNNNNNNNNNNNNNNNNNNNNNNNNNNNNNNNNAAAAAUUCCCCGUAAAACAUUCGUAAUGGUUCGUUGAUGUAGCAUUGCUCGAAAAAUGGUUUUACCAUUGUGUAGUCGUGUGAGACCAUCAUUUACUUUCAGCCGGUUUUCAGAUCUAUGGACUCAAACUCAAGAGGACUUCAGGCAGGUGUGCAAUUGGAUCUGUCAUGAACAACUCAUGGCAUUCAUGUCAAAAACAAAAUUGCAGCUACCAGGGAUCAUGCAUUCAUACUGCCCCUUCUGCUUUGACUUCUUUCAGCCUAAGCAGGAGGUGAACUGGGCCAUGGCCCGGUCCAGCUGAAGUACAUAAGGGGGCAUAUUUGGCUCGGACCGCUGAAGACCAAACAAUCAGUAGCACUUAGGCAGGAGAGAACCUGCUUAGUCAGGUACAUGGAUUUACACAGGUAAAGUUUGAACAAUGCUUUAGAGAAGAUAACGAGGUAGCUCAUGUAUAGCUAAACAUAGUUUUUUUUUGUGUGAAAAGGAUCCAGAUUUACUCCCUCCAUUCCUAAAUAUAAGCCCUUUUAGAGUUUUCAAUAUGGACUACGUGCAGAGCAAAAUGAGUGAAUCUACAUUUAAAAUAUGUCUAUAUACAUCCUUAUGUAGUGUAUACUGAAAUCUCUAAAAAAGACAUGUAUUUAGGAACGGAGGGAGUAUUAUAAAGGUUCACCAGAAGUAAAAUUACAAAGCACCACAAACAUAAUAAAAAUUACAUUAAGGUCCAUUAAGCAUCGAACGACCACUGACCACCAGAACGAUCCGACGACGUGUCGUUGUCGUUGCUCCCAUACCGAAGCCGGCUUGACUUUGUCGAUCAUAGCUAGAAAGUCUUGGUGCACAUGCCCCUAAGGACCAGCGCCCCGGAUUUGCAAUCGUUGUUGUAGAUCCCUUGAAUCGAUCGGAAGAACCUAACAUCAAAUAUCAUCAUUGCGUACGCAUGCCGAUAAACCCUACCCUUGCCGACCCGAGGAGCAAACGAGAAUCUACGCCGGAGGUUUGUCGAUACGUCCCAACGGACAAACUCGAGAAGAAUCGAAGCCCGAAAGACCGGCUCGAAUAUGUAGCAUCGCCCAUAGGAGGACUAAAACCCCAACCUAUCUAUUAGCCGGAGUCGACCCAUGAGGAUUGCCCUCCUUGCAUCCGGUCAUCUGUGAGGUGGAGCACUUCUUUUCCUCUGGCAGGCUGAUCUGCCAGAGACUCAUCCCUCUGGGAAGGGGAAUUCGAAGCCAUCGUCAUCACUAACACUUCGAUCAUCAUUGGGACCAAUGCAUAUCCUGACUCGUUAAUGUGUCAGAAGGCCAACACAUCUAGUUAAUGGCAACAUUAUCAAGUGAACCAACAACUCAAAAAAAGAGUAAAGCAAAGCUACCCGAGCUAGCCAUCUGCACGCGUUGAUGGGCCAUGCCACGGGAGGCAGCGUGUGAGCAGAGCGCCGGUUGAUCCUAAUGCCGCACAAGGAGCCAACAAGGAGGAAGCUCAAGCUUUGGUUAAUCACAUGCUGUUCGACGAUAUUGAAUUUUAAUAAAGGGUGUGGCUAGGUCUCAAUCGGCUGAGAUUUAACACUAUCUCAGUCAAAUGACAUAACAUGCAAGAGAGAAAAAACUGAAAAAUAAAUUUUGCACAAAUCUUAAUAUAAGAUCCGACGGAUAUAACAUCGACUGAGACUUAACGAAGUCUUAGUGUCGAGUAAGACUUAACGAAGUAUCAGUCGACUAAGACUUAACAAGACAAAAAGUGGUUUUCCCAUAAUAGGAAAACUAGGACCGGCAGUAUGCAUAUGAUCUCUGGUAGCUACCAUUUGCUUCUAGAAAAAAAAGAGCUACCAUUUGCCUACGACGUGAAUGGCAUGAGUUGUCCAUGACAAAUCCAAUUGCACACUUUCCUCAGUUUCUCUUGAGUUUAAGUUCACGGAUCAGAAAAUUGACUGGAACUAAUGGCAAAAUCACAUUGUCCUUAUCAUAUCAAUCGUCUGGAACAGCUGCAGUGUACUUCGGUUGACAAAAUCGACUUGAUUUAAAUUACUUGAUUCAUAAAAACCUUUGUACUACAAGAGAACUCACCGAAAUUACAGAAGCAAACACACCAACCACACCCACACACUUGCCUGACACACACGCGUAGAGCUGUUAUUAUGAACUCUCAGACUGCAGUGCAGAUACUAAAAUGGGGCAGCGAAUGGCAGAAGACCAAACAAUGCACCCACCCAUGCAAACCGAUCAUAAAUAGCAACGUCGAUCACUCACUGUCGCUGGGCAGGAGUACAAUGGUAGACUGGACUCAGUGGUGUCCGUGGUAUCCACCGCCGCCGCCUCCGCCGUAGGUGGGGGUGGGAGGGACUGGGUGGUAGUCCGGGUGGGGCUGCGGCUUGGGCUCGGGCUUGGGCACGGGGCCGUAGUCCGGGUGGGGCUGGGGCUUGGGCUCCGGCUUCGGCGGCACAUGCUUCUUGUGGUGGAAGUGCUCGAUGAUGUGCUUCUUGAUCGGCCCGCAUAGGGUCAUGGACGCACACUCCGGCGAUGCGGCAGACGGCGUGGCGGCGUUCUCGCCAGCGACGACGCCGUACGUGGUGCCCUCGGACACCGGCACGAUCUUGGACGGCUCCUGGCCGGGGCAGGGCGCGUUGGAGACGGCGCUGUGGAGCUGAGCGACGCAGUCGGCGCCGUGGAGGUUGGCAGCCAGGGGCACGCUGAAGGCGCCGGUGCCGUCGAGGCCGCCCACCGCCUUGCUCUCGUACUCGCCGGCGCUGUUCUUGCACUUGAUCGCCACCUGCACAGCCUUGAAGGCUUCCUCGGUCUGCAUGUUCUUCCUGGUGCAGUCGGCGCACUUGGCCAGGCCGACGACGACUGACGCCGCCUCGGUGUUGGCGACGGCCAUCGCCAGCAGGACGCAGAGGGCGAGUGCUCUCGGAGUCGCCAUGCCUAAACUUGUGUGGAUCGCACUACUGCCACUUGCUGGUGUGAAGUGCCUGAUGGAUGAAUGGUGGAUGGAUGGAUGAGUGGAUGUAACAGGCGACGCAUGGCUUAUAUAGGCAUCGGCGUUGAUCGGCGCGGCAGAGCUCGAAUGCUCGACCGGCGUUGAUCUGUCUGCAAGCGCAGAAGAAGAAGGGUGGCCGGCGGGCGCAGUGAAGCGAGACAACGAGAGAUGAGCUAAUUCGCUUUCGGCGCGCCGAAGUUUCUGAUGGCGAAUUAAUAUCGGUCGUCGUUUCGAUCCACGUCAUUGUUCGGUUGGUGUUUUGAUGAUCGUUUUGUUUUUAAAAACAAAUACUUCAUCCGUUUAGGUGUGUAAGUCACCUUACGAAAAUCAGAUUUUCCCAAAACAUUUAGGCGCCGUUCAUUAAUUUCUCAUCUCGAUUCCCUCCCAGCCUUGUUCGCCAGCCAGCUUUGCCUCCUAUACCUCGUUAUCUUCCAGCGAAAACCCCUCCUCCCGUUUUUCUUUCUCAGACAAUGACCAAUGCAUGCAGCACCUCUAUGCGUUGAUUAGGCGAGAAAUCAAUGCGGCUUUGCAUGCUAGAAGUACGUGGGCAUGCAUGGUAGUUAAUAUGUCAUCCUCUUAAUUAUUGCGAUUAAAUGCUAUGUUUAGAAGAAGGAAAUCAACAUUUUGAUUGGAGUUUUGAUUGGAAGAAGGACCGGUCAAAAUUUUUCUUCUCCUCCAAUCAGCUUGUACCUAGGUUGUGAUGCACCUUCUAAUGUGACUUACACACUUAGACGGAGGGAGUACAAACACGCAUCUUUGGCGCGGAAGCUCGAAUCGUUCAGAAACUCACUACAGCAACAGCAGCACGUAGCAACUUCCAGUUCAAACCACGAUUGCUUCAUUUCUUUUUUCAAGCUCAGUUAAUGCUAUAUUCGUGGGGUCAUACGUGGAGAUCCGUGUAAUUUUUUCUUUUCAGUUUUUUUCUUUUCACAUGUUUUUUUUUGCAAUAUCUUUUCACAUGUUAUGUCACUUGACUUUGACUUGGUUAAGUCUCAUAUUGCUUAUCUCUUGAAGUCAAACUUUGUAAAAUUUCAUCAACCUUAUGUAAAAUAUCAAUAUCUAUAAUAUCAAAUAAUAUGGACAAUAUAUUUUGUGAUGGAUGCGACAUUGAUUUGGUAUUUUGACAUGAUAAAUUUCUUUCUUUCUAAAAACUUGGUCAAAUUUAGAAAGUUUGACUUAAGACCAAAUUUACAUGCAAAAUAAAAAGAAAUGGAGAGAGUAGUACUUACUACAGAUUGCAGGUUGACGCAUCAAAGUAUAUGACACUGCUGACUUCCAUGUUUAUUUGAUCAAAUAGACACUCCCUCCGUUUCAAUGUCUACAAUACAGAAUCAUUAUUUUCAAUGUCUACUAGCGUCUUCGUUCCAAAUACAGAAUCAUUAUCACUAGAAUCACCAUUAAAUAUUUUUUAUUUUUUUUAUUUUUUAGUAUUGCAGAUAUUGAUAUGUUUUGCUUUAAACUUGAUCCAACAUCAAAAUGUUUGACUUCUUAAAAAACUAAUGCACCUUGUAUUUUGAAACUGAUUGAGUAUGACAAAAACAUGUGACUCAUGACAUUGUACAAACUAACGCGACCUUUUAGUUUAAGAGUAUGGAAUACACACCAAGAACAGAUGUAGUAAAAACUUGAUGUUUCCCGAAUUGGUGGAAGCAAUAAGAGAAUUCAUAAAUGAGUGGACAUAAUAAAGCUUCAUCUCAUUUUCAGUGAAAGCUCCACCGGAGUUGGCAACUCCAAGGACAACGCUGUAAACCGGAUGACACCGUAAUCUUUUCUGGGUCAUGUCCCAUUUCGCCAUGCAUCCAACGGUUAUAAGAUGUUCAUAUACUCCACAUGAAACGUUACUGUCUGAGCUUGUUGUGUCCCCGUGGAGAAAAUCUACGCAUAUAUAACAUCCAUUUUCCAAGUAUCAUGGUCGCAUGGAUGUUCUUUCUUUUACACUUAAGGUCUCCUUUUAUUCAACAACGAGUAGCAUUACAUUGUUGACAAGAAUUUGGAUUAGCACCCAAGGCGCGUCAUUCAUCCAAGUACCAUGUGUAGAAGAUCUAGCUAAUAUAGCUAAUUCAUGUGCGGUUGCAUUAGCCUCUCUAGGACAGUGAUCAUGGAAUGAGUAAAUCAAGAGACAUGUUGUACGUAGCAAUCUUCAAAUAAAGCACUCGUGACGCCGGACGAUGAUGCGCCUUCCAGCAUUGUCGUAAUCACCUCCAUGCUAUCUAAAUUCACUUCAAGAUUGUUGCACCCAAUUGUGUGUGCAAGAUUAACCCCAUAUCUCAGUGUUGUGGCUUCGGCCGUGAAAGCGUCAAAACAAACAUCAACUCUUUGAUUUUCAGCAACAACGAUUUUUCCCAUACAAUCUCGAAUGACAGGUGCUACAGAUGCCUGGAGAGUAUCAAGGUCAAACAAUGUAUCCACAUUGAGCUUUAAAUAACCAUGGACCGGCUUGGUCCAUCCUGCAUGCUUCAUAAUUGGUUUGAGGUAGCUUGCUAAUGUGAAGUUUGCUGCCAAUUCUCUUACUGCAAGAUGAAUUUGACUCAGUGUUUGUAUCGACUGGCCAUGCAAGAGUUUCCUCUGCUCCCACACAUACCAAGAUGCAAUAACAAUAAUUUAUCGGGAUGCAUGUCCUAAAAUCAUCGCUUCUUGAUCAAGGAAGUUCAAUAAAUAUUCCAGUGUCUCCUCCCAGGACAAGCCAGAGACACAUGAUUUAUGGAUGAUAUCACCAAGUCCCGAGGGAUUUCACACUUCACUAGCCAAAGAGUAUUCAAAUAGAAGAUGUUUAACAUCCUCACUCCUCAGCCCAUAAUUUGCAAAUGGGACAACGAGGAGACACCUUUAUAUGUCUAUCAACAAGAUUUGCACGACAGGGAUUUGCCCCUUUCAAUUGCCCUCCACAAAAAAAAAAAUUACCUUGGCCGGACACUGCAGGUUCCAAACUAAAUCCCACAUACCGUUAUGCCUCGAUGCUUCAAUAUUAUUCUCAUUAGAUAUUUUAUCCAAUGUACCAUCCAUCUUUAUGAACUCUCCUAUUUUUGUUGGAUGCAAACUUUCAUAGGCAAUCAAAACAUUGUUAGUAAUUAACCGUCCCGGAACAGGGGCAUUCUUGCCGACCCAUGUGUUGUUGGUUGCUGUAAAAAAGGGUAUAGCAAAGCUUUUCAAUCUGAAAAAGAUGUUCUUCUAUGGUGGCACAACCAAUAAAAAACAUAAGUUUUCUAUAUCUUGAGAGAAUCCUGGAGAAUCUAAAUAGCUAGCGCCACUAACAUAUUUAUCUCUACUAGUCAAUGUGUACGUGCAAUGCGCGUUAAUUUGGAAGUAUAUUAAGUGCAUGUUGAUAUUAAGUAAGAUAUUAUUUGUGUGUUAUUAUGUGAUUAGCAUUAUAUUUGGCAUGAAAUUAACUGAACGCUAAACGUGUUGAGCGCUCGACAUUGAAGUGGUCUAGGUCGUCGGAUUGACAUGAUUCGAUGGCCGAGAUUAAUUGGGUCUGCCCCUUUGGGUCUUUUUAUAUUGGUAUAGAUGAAGCAUUGUUAUUUUCACCGCAAAAAAAAAAGUAUAGAUGUAAGCAAAGCCAUCUCAGCGUGUCAAAGACCCACCUUUAAGAUGCAGCCAUGCAUAGGAAAAGCUUCACCUCGACAUGCAAAUAUUAAUGAGAAUUUCCACUGUAGUAUUAUGCUAUUUACAUCUAAUAAAAUUGUACAACCAUACAGUAAUCAAACACAAUAAACCAUAUAUAUUUUCAUUUUAUUUAUUAUAAUAUUAAUCUAACUACUCAUGUUCCACCGAGACAAAUACAUUGAAAUAUAAUGCAGAACAUCCUCCCAACAAUGUGCCAGAUAUCAUCUAGUAAUCACUUGGUUUCUGAUGUUUGCCAUUCAUCAUUUAUCAAGAGCACUUAACUUUUCAUAUAUUAGGUCCGACCUCGAUUUAGUGAUGGAAACUACUUGUCAACAUAUUGUGGCAACAAUUAAUAGAAAUUGCACAUUCCAUGAGCCAGUUGUCAUAGAGCAACUUUCAAGUAAAAUGGAAUGCAACUAUCUUCUGAACUGCAGAACAAAAUAUGUACGACCGCAACCAGCGUUAUUAUAUUCGAAGUUUGAGAAGUUUUUAUGUUAUUAUGCCACUUGUGCUGCUCUGGUGCUCAAACCCUACCUCUGAUUGGUUGUAAGAUUGCUUUCAAAUUAAGCUUGUAACCAGCCAAUCCACGCUGCUAACUCAAGUCUUGUUAAUUUCAGGCAAUGCGCAUUAAUUUGGAAGUAUAUUAAGUGCAUGUUGAUAUUAAGUAAGAUAUUAUUUGUGUGUUAUUAUGUGAUUAGCAUUAUAUUUGGCAUGAAAUUAACUGAACGCUAAACGUGUUGAGCGCUCGACAUUGAAGCGGUCUAGGUCGUCGGAUUGACAUGAUUCGAUGGCCGAGAUUAAUUGGGUCUGCCCCUUUGGGUCUUUUUAUAUUGGUAUAGAUGAAGCAUUGUUAUUUUCACCGCAAAAAAAAGUAUAGAUGUAAGCAAAGCCAUCUCAGCGUGUCAAAGACCCACCUUUAAGAUGCAGCCAUGCAUAGGAAAAGCUUCACCUCGACAUGCAAAUAUUAAUGAGAAUUUCCACUGUAGUAUUAUGCUAUUUACAUCUAAUAAAAUUGUACAACCAUACAGUAAUCAAACACAAUAAACCAUAUAUAUUUUCAUUUUAUUUAUUAUAAUAUUAAUCUAACUACUCAUGUUCCAUCGAGACAAAUACAUUGAAAUAUAAUGCAGAACAUCCCCCCAACAAUGUGCCAGAUAUCAUCUAGUAAUCACUUGGUUUCUGAUGUUUGCCAUUCAUCAUUUAUCAAGAGCACUUAACUUUUCAUAUAUUAGGUCCGACCUCGAUUUAGUGAUGGAAACUACUUGUCAACAUAUUGUGGCAACAAUUAAUAGAAAUUGCACAUUCCAUGAGCCAGUUGUCAUAGAGCAACUUUCAAGUAAAAUGGAAUGCAACUAUCUUCUGAACUGCAGAACAAAAUAUGUACGACCGCAACCAGCGUUAUUAUAUUCGAAGUUUGAGAAGUUUUUAUGUUAUUAUGCCACUUGUGCUGCUCUGGUGCUCAAACCCUACCUCUGAUUGGUUGUAAGAUUGCUUUCAAAUUAAGCUUGUAACCAGCCAAUCCACGCUGCUAACUCAAGUCUUGUUGAUUUGGUACAUAUAAAUGGCCCGGAGGCGCGCCGCACGUAGAAAGGGACCAACAGAGAAUUAGGUGUGUAGGCUCUAACUUGUUUAGGCUCUAGUAGAUGAUAAAGACUACGUACUUACGCUGCAUGAAUGCAUGCAUGCUUGUCCAUGUGCCGCGUGGAACCUACGAACGAGAAGGACAUGAUCGGCCACCAGCCAAUGCAAAAUCGAUCACCAACCGAGCAAUGAGAAACGACGUGCGUGGAUCAAAUCGAUCGUUGAUCGAUGCGUGCAGAAUCGAUCAACCGAGUUUUAAUACGCCAUCUGAAAUUUCGGCGAGUUAGCCGGUCUCUCGUUGUCAGGCAUCACUUCGCCGGUCACCAGGCGAACAUGCAGCCAGAUCAUCGCCCGAGCUGGAUGGAUCAAUGCGGAUGCCUAUAUAAGCCACGCGUCGCCUGUUCCAUUCAUCCAUCCAUCCAUCCAUCGACCAGCCACUUCACACAGGCAAGCGAGUGGUAGAGGUUCAGGCAUGGCAGCUCCGAGAGCGCUCGUCCUCGCCGUCCUGCUGGCGAUCGCCGUCGCCAACGCCGAGGCGGCGUCCGUGGUCGUCGGCCUGGUCAAGUGCGCCGAUUGCACCAGGAAGAACAUGAAGGCCGAGAAAGCCUUCAAAGGUGAGCUAGCUACAUACCGUAUAUAGGUCGAUAAAUAUGAACAGUACUGUCACUCUGCAGGUGCACACUUCACACACCUAUAAAUGUAUGGAGAUCAGCUCACAGUCACUGAUGUACUAAUGGCCCUGCCACGAAAAUUUUGUCAGGUCUCCAGGUGGCAAUCAAGUGCAAGAACGUCCACGGCGACUACGAGAGCAAGGCAGUGGGUGCCCUCGACGGGACCGGCGCCUUCGGCGUGCCACUCGCCGCAGACCUCCACGGCAAUGACUGCGUCGCACAGCUCCACAGCGCCGCCUCCAACACGCCGUGCCCUGGCCAGGAGCCAUCAAAGAUCGUGCCGGUUUCGGAAGGCACCACCUUCGGCAUCGUCGCCGGUGACAACAUUGCCACGCCAUCCGCAGCAUCGCCGGAGUGUGCGUCCAUGACCCUGUGCGGGCCGAUCAAGAAGCACAUCAUCGAGCACUUCCACCACAAGCAGCCGGUGCCGCCGAAGCCGGAGCCCAAGCCCCAGCCCCACCCAGACUACAGCCCCGUGCCCAAGCCCGAGCCCAAGCCGCAGCCCCACCCAGACUACCACCCUGUCCCUCCCAUGCCCACCUAUGGAGGCGGUGGCGACGGUGGAUACCACGGACACCACUGAGUCCAGUCUACCACCGUGGUCCUGCCCAGCCAUGAAAUCUCAUCACCGGGUUCAAAGUCAAUGAGUGAUCGAUGUUGCUAUUUAUGAUCGGUUUGCAUGCGUGGAUGGAUUGCUUGGUGUUGUGCCAUUUGCUGCCUCAUUUUAGUAUUUGCACCGCAAAGUUGAGAGUUCAGAAUAACAGUUGUGAGCAACACAGGGAUCACUGUGUAUUUUGCUUUUUAAAGAUUUGUAAUUUUGGUGUAUGUUUUGUAUAAAGUUGUGGAUCAAGUAAUUUAAUCAAGUCCAUUUGAGCCAAUGGAAUUACCGCAGAUGUUGGCUUUUUUGGCUUGAUCUUGUUCUACUGUGUGUUGUGUGUGUUUAGUUCAUGUUUUGCCUAAUGUUAUAGGCUUGCUUUUACCUUUAUUUUCUUUUAAGUUUUUGGUUCAUGUAAUAACUGUGUGG